rnacentral:lncRNA from 10 species
GAUGUGACCUCUAGGCUGUGGACAUCUGAUGUGUUACAUCAAGUAGAAUCCACUCUCACUAUUCUUGUUGUUCCAGGUCACUGCCAUCCCUGCCACCCCUGCCACCCCAUGCACCUGAGAAGUACCUACUCCAGUGUUCAGAGAGGCCUCCCAGCUGGCAGAAGAAGUGUGAACUAGGAUCCCAGUACUCUGCCCUCCAGUUCUCAUCUUGGUCAUUUUCUAUCAAGCUGCUGCCCUGAUAUGCGAGGUCACUGUCACUUCUGCAGGGCUCUCUACUAUGCUGAUGGCCCCCUAACUUCCAGGACUCAUGGCUCCAUCAGUGUCCACUCUUCUGACCCUUCUGACAGACACAUCUUCUCUGGCCCGGACACACAGACCUGCCUUUGUUUUAUGAACACAUACCUAUACUGCAGCUCUGGAGCAGAGAGAGCUGAACUAAUUGGGUGAGAGGUGGAUGGAUGGACCCGUCCAAUAAGGAGGGACUGAAGAACCAGAGUCCUGGAGUUCCUGGAAGAGCCACCGUCCUCCAAUGGGGACAUAAGCUGGGGAAGGGAGUCUCUCUCCCCUUGGCUGUCUUUUGCCCUUAUGUGUUGGAGUUCCUGGAGGUCCCACACACUCUGCUGCACUGCCUUAAAUUCUAUCCUUUGCAAUGAGGCCUUGCCUUUUCCAGGAAGCCCCAGCUGAAAGCAGAGUUCUUACUUCUGGGAGUCACUGAUGCCUUCAUAUGAUUAGCUUGUAAGCCUGCUGAAAGAAUCAUGGAAAGGUCUCUGGUUGUCAAGAGAAAGGAUAGCUUUAAGAACACACGACCACCAAAUGGUGGGGUCCCUCGAGACACAAAAUUCUGCUGGUUAUCCUGCUGAUGUCAUGUUUGGCAAGCCUCUCUUGGAUGAUGGAAGGAUUUAGCAGUGGCCUACUGUAUGAACAGCUGCUCUUGGUGGGGCCCUCCAACCACUCCCUCUUCUUUUGGGAACUUCACCCUCAUUUUCUUUUGAAGACAUGCUCUGCCAUAUCCCAUCUCCAUGUAGUUCUUGCUGAAUUGACACAUGUCUCAAGCCAGGCCACACGACACCUAAUGGGCACUGAAGCGGCAAAUGCUCUCCUUAUCCACUGGGCUUCUGACACUCUCAGGGAGUCAGCCUGCAGACUCCCAGCAUACAGCCCCCUUGGCGGAUGAGGGGGACAGAAGAACCAGAGUGCUAGGGUCCCUGGGAGAGCCACAGCGCAAGGCUGCUGAGAGUGAGGCUGGCACAGAGGAAAGCCAGGUUGAGCGAUGGAGCCAGUCACCCUUCUGAAACUCUGUCCACAGCCCCGAGCCUCAGCUUUCUCUCCCUUACAAUGGAAGAGCCCUGAAGCAUCCACCUGCCUUCCCUCCUUCCUUCUGCCCAGGCCCUGAGCCUGGGUGAGCCUCCUUGGGAUGACCCCAACAUCCUCUGCUGAGACCCAACCUACCCCAUGCCAUCUCUCAACAGUUCCCUUCCUAGGCUUCCCCAGCCCCGUUUCCAGCUUGCCAUGGCUGGAACCCUAGAAGGUUCCCUAGAAGGUCCCUAGCAGGACCCCUAGAAGGCAGAUGUGGGGACUCCUCUCCCUCACACGUCUCUGGAAUUGUUUCCGGAAGUGGAACAGCAUUGACCAACCUCCAGCAACCCAGGCAGAGAAGCCAUGGCCUUUCUUGACUCCUUGCAGUGUCUAUCCCUCAAGCAUUCAUCUGAUGGGCCCAGCACAGCACAUGGAGAAGAAUGUGGCAUCUGUGUCUGAGACAUGCACUGGCCUCGCGGAGGAGAUUAACACACU